AAGGAUCAUUACUGACUAUCUCUUGUCUCUUUCCUACCCCUUUGGCUUAUGUCUCCUAUCUUUAGUGAGCAGCCAAAAUUUGUAUCUUCCAAACUCUAUAAUGUUUGAUUUUGUCUAAUUCUGAUCAGCAAAGUUAGUGAUAACAAAAGCAAAAACUUUCAACAAUGGAUCUCUUGGUUCUG
rnacentral:misc_RNA from 1 species